rnacentral:rRNA from 1 species
UGGGGAGUACGGCCGCAAGGUUAAAACUCAAAUGAAUUGACGGGGGCCCGCACAAGCGGUGGAGCAUGUGGUUUAAUUCGAUGCAACGCGAAGAACCUUACCUACACUUGACAUGCAGAGAACUUUCUAGAGAUAGAUUGGUGCCUUCGGGAACUCUGACACAGGUGCUGCAUGGCUGUCGUCAGCUCGUGUCGUGAGAUGUUGGGUUAAGUCCCGCAACGAGCGCAACCCUUGUCCUUAGUUGCCAGCAUUAAGUUGGGCACUCUAAGGAGACUGCCGGUGACAAACCGGAGGAAGGUGGGGAGGACGUCAAAGUCAUCAUGGCCCUUACGUGUAGGGCUACACACGUGCUACAAUGGCAUUUACAGAGGGAAGCGAGACAGUGAUGUGGAGCGGACCCCUUAAAGAAUGUCGUAGUCCGGAUUGGAGUCUGCAUCUCGACUCCAUGAAGUCGAAUCGCUAGUAAUCGCAUGUCAGAAU